UACGUAGGUGGCAAGCGUUGUCCGGAAUUAUUGGGCGUAAAGGGCGCGUAGGCGGCCUUCUAAGUCAGAUGUGAAAUCCCUGGGCGUUAACCCGGUACGGUGCAUUUGUAAACUAGGAGGGCGUUGUAGUGCAGGAGAGGUAAGUGGAAUUCCUAGUGUAGCGGUGAAAUGCGUAGAUAUUAGGAGGAACACCAGUGGCGAAGGCGACUUACUGGACUGUAACUGACGCUGAGGCGCGAAAGCGUAGGGAGCAAACAGGAUUAGAAA
rnacentral:rRNA from 1 species